rnacentral:rRNA from 1 species
GACAGAGGGUGCAAGCGUUGUUCGGAAUUACUGGGCGUAAAGCGCGUGUAGGCGGCCAUCUAAGUCGGGCGUGAAAUCCCACGGCUCAACCGUGGAAGUGCACUCGAAACUGGAUGGCUAGAGUCCUGGAGAGGAAGGUGGGAUGCUUGGUGUAGAGGUGAAAUUCGUAGAUAUCAAGCGGAACACCGGUGGCGAAGGCGGCCUUCUGGACAGUGACUGACGCUGAGACGCGAAAGCGUGGGGAGCAAACAGG